rnacentral:rRNA from 1 species
UGGGAAUAUUGCACAAUGGGGAAACCCUGAUGCAGCAACGCCGCGUGAGCGAAGAAGUAUUUCGGUAUGUAAAGCUCUAUCAGCAGGGAAGAAAAUGACGGUACCUGACUAAGAAGCCCCGGCUAACUACGUGCCAGCAGCCGCGGUAAUACGUAGGGGGCAAGCGUUAUCCGGAUUUACUGGGCGUAAAGGGAGCGCAGGCGGCGAAGCAAGCCAGAGGUGAAAACCCGGGGCUCAACCCCGAGGAUUGCCUUUGGAACUGUUUUGCUUGAGUACUGGAGGGGCAGGCGGAAUUCCUGGUGUAGCGGUGAAAUGCGUAGAUAUCAGGAGGAACACCGGUGGCGAAGGCGGCCUGCUGGACAGUAACUGACGCUGAGGCUCGAAAGCGUGGGGAGCAAACA